UGUGAUUAUAGGCUAAUGGUAAACUAUUGGAUUGUGAUUCCUUUCUUAUGGGUUCGACUCCCAUUAAUCACU
rnacentral:tRNA from 1 species